AUUAGCUAGUUGGCGGGGCAACGGCCCACCAAGGCAUCGAUGGGUAGGGGUUCUGAGAGGAAGGUCCCCCACAUUGGAACUGAGACACGGUCCAAACUCCUACGGGAGGCAGCAGUGAGGAAUAUUGGUCAAUGGGCGAGAGCCUGAACCAGCCAAGUAGCGUGCAGGAUGACGGCCCUAUGGGUUGUAAACUGCUUUUAUAAGGGAAUAAAGUGAGUCACGUGUGACUUUUUGCAUGUACCUUAUGAAUAAGGACCGGCUAAUUCCGUGCCAGCAGCCGCGGUAAUACGGAAGGUCCGGGCGUUAUCCGGAUUUAUUGGGUUUAAAGGGAGCGUAGGCCGGAGAUUAAGCGUGUUGUGAAAUGUAGACGCUCAACGUCUGCACUGCAGCGCGAACUGGUUUCCUUGAGUACGCAUAAAGUGGGCGGAAUUCGUGGUGUAGCGGUGAAAUGCUUAGAUAUCACGAAGAACUCCGAUUGCGAAGGCAGCUCACUGGGGCGCAACUGACGCUGAAGCUCGAAAGCGCGGGUAUCGAACAGGAUUAGAUACCCUGGUAGUCCGCGCGGUAAACGAUGGAUGCCCGCUGUUGGGCCAACUGGUUCAGCGGCCAAGCGAAAGCAUUAAGCAUCCCACCUGGGGAGUACGCCGGCAACGGUGAAACUCAAAGGAAUUGACGGGGGCCCGCACAAGCGGAGGAACAUGUGGUUUAAUUCGAUGAUACGCGAGGAACCUUACCCGGGCUUGAAUUGCAGAGGAAGGAUUUGGAGACAAUGACGCCCUUCGGGGCCUCUGUGAAGGUGCUGCAUGGUUGUCGUCAGCUCGUGCCGUGAGGUGUCGGCUUAAGUGCCAUAACGAGCGCAACCCCUCUCCAUAGUUGCCAUCAGGUAAAGCUGGGCACUCUGUGGACACUGCCACCGUAAGGUGUGAGGAAGGUGGGGAUGACGUCAAAUCAGCACGGCCCUUACGUCCGGGGCUACACACGUGUUACAAUGGCAGGUACAGAGAGUUGUCGUUCGCAAGUACGAUCUAAUCCUUAAAGCCUGUCUCAGUUCGGACUGGGGUCUGCAACCCGACCCCACGAAGCUGGAUUCGCUAGUAAUCGCGCAUCAGCCAUGGCGCGGUGAAUACGUUCCCGGGCCUUGUACACACCGCCCGUCAAG
rnacentral:rRNA from 1 species